rnacentral:rRNA from 1 species
UUGGAGGGCAAGUCUGGUGCCCGCAGCCGCGGUAAUUCCAGCUCCAAUAGCGUAUAUUAAAGUUGUUGCAGUUAAAAAGCUCGUAGUUGAAUUUCGGGGUUAGUAGGUUGGUCAUGCCUCCGGUAUGUACUGGUCUCACUGAUUCCUCCAUCCUGAUGAACCGUAAUGCCAUUAAUUUGGUGUUGCGGGGAAUUUGGACUGUUACUUUGAAAAAAUUAGAGUGUUUAAAGCAAGCUAACGCUUGAAUACAUUAGCAUGGAAUAAUGAAAUAGGACGUUCGAUCCUAUUUUGUUGGUUUCUAGGAUUGACGUAAUGAUUAAUAGGGAUAGUUGGGGGCAUUAGUAUUCAAUUGUCAGGGGUGAGAUUCUUGGAUUUAUUGAAGACUAACUACUGCGAAAGCAUUUGCCAAGGAUGUUUUCAUUAAUCAAGAACGAAAGUUAGGGGAUCGAAGACGAUCAGAUACCGUCGUAGUCUUAACCAUAAACUAUGCCGACUAGGGAUCGGAUGAUGUUAAUUUUUUAAUGACUCAUUCGGCGCCCUACGGGAAACCAAAGUGUUUGGGUUC